rnacentral:rRNA from 1 species
UACAGAGGGGGCAAGCGUUGUUCGGAAUUACUGGGCGUAAAGCGUGCGUAGGCGGUUCGUUAAGUCAGCUGUGAAAGCCCCGGGCUCAACCUGGGAAUUGCGGUUGAAACUGGCGAACUAGAAUCUGGCAGAGGGGGGUGGAAUUCCACGUGUAGCAGUGAAAUGCGUAGAGAUGUGGAGGAACACCGAUGGCGAAGGCAGCCCCCUGGGCUGAGAUUGACGCUCAGGCACGAAAGCGUGGGGAGCAAACAGG